AGGGUUUGAUCAUGGCUCAGAUUGAACGCUGGCGGCAUGCUUUACACAUGCAAGUCGAACGGCAGCACGGGAGNCNNAAUCCUGGUGGCGAGUGGCGAACGGGUGAGUAAUACAUCGGAACGUGUCCUAAAGUGGGGGAUAACGCAUCGAAAGAUGUGCUAAUACCGCAUAAUCUCUAAGGAGGAAAGUGGGGGAUCGUAAGACCUCAUGCUUUUGGAGCGGCCGAUGUCUGAUUAGCUAGUUGGUGAGGUAAUGGCUCACCAAGGCGACGAUCAGUAGUUGGUCUGAGAGGACGACCAGCCACACUGGGA
rnacentral:rRNA from 1 species